CAGACCUGAGUGGAGGUGGAUGCAUGUAAGCUUAGAGACUUCAAUGGAUGCAUGUAUGCAUAUGGCCUUCACAAAAAGCAGCCCACAGCCCCAGACAUCCAUGGCAGUUCUUCAGCAGAUUCCCACAGGGAGUGUUCUUAAUCCACAUACUAUUAGAGAAUCAAAGCGGGUGUAAUGAAAAAUUGAAGGAUUUCUUUAACCAGCAGAUAACCAGCCUGCACCAUUCUCUCAGAGCAUCUCUGCAUCGUCUUAUGGAAAUCAACAGAAAGCACUAAGUGGAGCUAAAGACAAGGAACUGUGUGCUUUAGCAUUAGUGUUCUGCAGUUUUGUUGAUUAUGCAGUAUAUAAAUGAAAAUGGAACGUGCACAUUUUUUGUUCUUCUGUAAUCAAAAUUCUGUGUUGUGUAUUUCUGAUUACUGGGUUCAUAAAGAAACCUGAAAGGUCCACAUAUAGACGCAUAUGUGCUUGUCCAAAAAUUGCAAGAACUGACCAUCUUAAUGUCCUCUCCCUCCG
rnacentral:lncRNA from 11 species